rnacentral:rRNA from 1 species
UGGGGAAUUUUGGACAAUGGGCGCAGGCCUGAUCCAGCAAUGCCGCGUGCAGGAUGAAGGCCUUCGGGUUGUAAACUGCUUUUGUACGGAGCGAAAAGGUCUGCUCUAAUACGGUGGGCUCAUGACGGUACCGUAAGAAUAAGCACCGGCUAACUACGUGCCAGCAGCCGCGGUAAUACGUAGGGUGCGAGCGUUAAUCGGAAUUACUGGGCGUAAAGCGUGCGCAGGCGGUUAUGCAAGACAGAGGUGAAAUCCCCGGGCUCAACCUGGGAAGUGCCUUUGUAACUGCAUAGCUAGAGUACGGUAGAGGGAGAUGGAAUUCCGCGUGUAGCAGUGAAAUGCGUAGAUAUGCGGAGGAACACCGAUGGCGAAGGCAAUCCCCUGGACCUGUACUGACGCUCAUGCGCGAAAGCGUGGGGAGCAAAC